GACGUAGGGCGCGAGCGUUGUCCGGAUUUAUUGGGCGUAAAGAGCUCGUAGGCGGCUCGUUGCGUCGGCUGUGAAAACCCGCAGCUCAACUGUGGGCUUGCAGCUGAUACGGGCGGGCUGGGAUUCGGUAGGGGAGACUGGAAUUCCUGGUGUAGCGGUGAAAUGCGCAGAUAUCAGGAGGAACACCGGUGGCGAAGGCGGGUCUCUGGGCCGAUAUCGACGCUGAGGUGCGAAAGCGUGGGGGAGCAAACAGG
rnacentral:rRNA from 1 species